rnacentral:lncRNA from 1 species
GGAGGAAUAACAUGGUUUUCGAGGAUUCACCUUGGUCGGUUGAUGAAGCUUGGCGUAAGAUUUGUCAUGAGCAUGAUGAGUUCAUUACUUUUCAGAUGGGGAUGCAGGGGAUCCUGGGUCUUGGCUGAGUUCCAGGUGGCAACCGCCGAGGCAAGGGAUUGUUAAGCUGAACGUGGAUGGGAGUUUUUGGGAGCAGGAUCGUUGUAUGGGGGCGGGUGGCUUGAUUCGGGAUGAUCAAGGCAAAU